AGCACAUAUGUCAAUGCUCACUUCUGCAGAAACAAUACAGAGAAGAUUAACAUGGCCCCUUUAAAGGAUGACACACAAAUUCCUGAAAAAUUAUGUUUUGUA